rnacentral:rRNA from 1 species
CUCCUACGGGGGGCAGCAGUGAGGAAUAUUGGUCAAUGGCCGAGAGUCUGAACCAGCCAAGUAGCGUGAAGGAUGACUGUCCUAUGGGUUGUAAACCUCUUUUAUAUGAGAAUAAAAUGCUCCACGUGUGGGGUUUUGCAUGUACCAUAUGAAUAAGCAUCGGCUAACUCCGUGCCAGCAGCCGCGGUAAUACGGAGGAUCCGAGCGUUAUCCGGUUUUAUUGGGUUUAAAGGGAGCGUAGGCGGAUUGUUA